rnacentral:rRNA from 1 species
GACGAACGCUGGCGGCGUGCUUAACACAUGCAAGUCGAACGGAAAGGCCCUGCUUUUGUGGGGUGCUCGAGUGGCGAACGGGUGAGUAACACGUGAGUAACCUGCCCUUGACUUUGGGAUAACUUCAGGAAACUGGGGCUAAUACCGGAUAGGAGCUCCUGCUGCAUGGUGGGGGUUGGAAAGUUUCGGCGGUUGGGGAUGGACUCGCGGCUUAUCAGCUUGUUGGUGGGGUAGUGGCUUACCAAGGCUUUGACGGGUAGCCGGCCUGAGAGGGUGACCGGCCACAUUGGGACUGAGAUACGGCCCAGACUCCUACGGGAGGCAGCAGUGGGGAAUAUUGCACAAUGGGCGGAAGCCUGAUGCAGCAACGCCGCGUGCGGGAUGACGGCCUUCGGGUUGUAAACCGCUUUCGCCUGUGACGAAGCGUGAGUGACGGUAAUGGGUAAAGAAGCACCGGCUAACUACGUGCCAGCAGCCGCGGUGAUACGUAGGGUGCGAGCGUUGUCCGGAUUUAUUGGGCGUAAAGGGCUCGUAGGUGGUUGAUCGCGUCGGAAGUGUAAUCUUGGGGCUUAACCCUGAGCGUGCUUUCGAUACGGGUUGACUUGAGGAAGGUAGGGGAGAAUGGAAUUCCUGGUGGAGCGGUGGAAUGCGCAGAUAUCAGGAGGAACACCAGUGGCGAAGGCGGUUCCCUGGGCCUUUCCUGACGCUGAGGAGCGAAAGCGUGGGGAGCGAACAGGCUUAGAUACCCUGGUAGUCCACGCUGUAAACGGUGGGUACUAGGUGUGGGGUCCAUUCCACGGGUUCCGUGCCGUAGCUAACGCUUUAAGUACCCCGCCUGGGGAGUACGGCCGCAAGGCUAAAACUCAAAGGAAUUGACGGGGCCCCGCACAAGCGGCGGAGCAUGCGGAUUAAUUCGAUGCAACGCGUAGAACCUUACCUGGGUUUGACAUGGAUCGGGAGUGCUCAGAGAUGGGUGUGCCUCUUUUGGGGUCGGUUCACAGGUGGUGCAUGGCUGUCGUCAGCUCGUGUCGUGAGAUGUUGGGUUAAGUCCCGCAACGAGCGCAACCCUUGUUCACUGUUGCCAGCACGUUAUGGUGGGGACUCAGUGGAGACCGCCGGGGUCAACUCGGAGGAAGGUGGGGAUGACGUCAAGUCAUCAUGCCCCUUAUGUCCAGGGCUUCACGCAUGCUACAAUGGCUGGUACAGAGAGUGGCGAGCCUGUGAGGGUGAGCGAAUCUCGGAAAGCCGGUCUCAGUUCGGAUUGGGGUCUGCAACUCGACCUCAUGAAGUCGGAGUCGCUAGUAAUCGCAGAUCAGCAACGCUGCGGUGAAUACGUUCCCGGG